UUAGUGCUGAACGUGAAAAAGUUCUAGGCUGCCAGCAGGUGGGAUCUGUGAUCAAACAGGAUAUAACAACUUGCACCUGGAUUACAAGAGUUAUAUGUACCAUGGUUUGGCUCUGGAUUUUUUUUGCUCUUGCUCAAAUGCAAUACUAGUUUAGGUGAGGCAGAUGCCAGGGAAAUCAUGGGAACUGACUUUGGUGAUUAUACAACUUCUUUUAUUGCACUUAGA
rnacentral:lncRNA from 1 species